GGGGAAUUAGCUCAGAUGGUAGAGCGCUCGCUUAGCAUGUGAGAGGUGGUGGGAUCGAUGCCCACAUUCUCCA
rnacentral:tRNA from 1 species